UUGACUCACGCGGGAAUCUUACCGGGUCCGGACACACUGAGGAUUGACAGGUUUCGAGAGUUUUUUUGGAGUUCGCUCCAGAAUGCUCUCUUAAAUAUGCUAGUCCUUUCAUGAUUAUGUGAUAGGUGGUGCAUGGCCGUUCUUAGUUCGUGGAGUGAUCUGUCUGCUUAAUUGCGUUUCACUAAAGGCGUCAUUAUAUUUUUGUGCUUGUGUUUGACCCCUCUUUCUUCGGAUUGAGCGCGUGUCUUUCACACACAAUUACUUUGACGUCUGAAAGCAACGAACGUGACCGUAACCUCUUGUUGCCUUCUCUUCUCUUCGGAGAAUGCUAGUUUUUUUCUUCGGAUAAAUUCUAGUAUAUGGAGGCUUUUACUCAAACUAGAGGGACCGCUGUUACUUUCUUUAAACCAGAGGAAGGUUGCGGCAAUAACAGGU
rnacentral:rRNA from 1 species